UCCUUCUGACUGCUUUCGUACAGUACCUGCAGCUCCUCCAGCUCCAUCUUCAGGCCAUCGCACUGGAGGAAGAAGACACGUGUGGGAAACAUCAGAAUUCAUCUGCACUUCACUUCAGAGGCCCUGAACCACAGGAGAGUUUGCAGGAGGAGCUGGAGCCAAACGUAGAUGUCUGUGGCCAAAGCAGGGCUCCAUAGUGAACUCUUAUGGUAAAUCCAGUCUGUCUCAGCAUGGGGCUGGAGAGAGCUGAGAAAAGAAGUUCCCUGGUGAAAUACCAAGGCAGAUGCAGUCUCUCGGAAAGACGCACGUUGUCCUCCUUCAGGGUCUGACACUCCUCCCUCAGUGUGCGACACUCCUCCUUCAGCAGGUCUACGUCACCUGAUGGAGCGGAGAAGGCCAGAGAUGGAUGUCACGUAAAAAGGACACAGUGCCACCUGGAGUUCACUGCACAUCAGCCUUUGCAGGCUUUCAUUCAUGGAGGCAUUUUCUUCCGUUGAGGCAGCUGUGACCAUGACCAGAGGACACAGGCGAGGAGGCGGGCUCUCCGAGAGGUCACCGCAGACACGAGGACGACAUACAACAGUUCAAGCCUGGGACGACAGGAUAAGGAAGCAAAAUCCGGCUCACGGACUCCUGGUCAAAGGGCCGUGACCUGUGGUUCUCUCUGAGUCGCCGGACGCCGUAAACAUCCUCCAAGUACCAUCGUCCACACUGAGCCGCUCUGUCUGGAUUAUGAAGGAUGGAGGGACAGCGGUGGAAGUGGUCUCCAGCUUCAGAAACAGCACCACCAGAUACAGGAAACGGAGCAUUAAGACCAGAGUCUGGACUAACUCGGGAUACUGUGACCUGGAAAAUUUACAAAGAAGCCUCAGCAGACAUGAACGAUCAGCAACGGUUCUUUAAGAACUCUUGGAAAUUCAAGGAUCGAUUUGUCAUUGGAUGAGCAACGGAGACUAAACAUGAGCGUCCACAACGCAAAGCCCUUCAGGUGUAGCAGCAGACCACUAUCGCCAUCACCUGGCCCGGUGGACUCAAUGACUCCAAGAAGUCCGAAGCAUCUGGCCAUGGUUUUUGAGCGCCCAGAGAGCAGUGUAUGGGGACGGUGCCAUGCUCAGAUGGUAGUUGCACAGGCCAAAAGAAGCGGAGGUUAAACCAAGUUGUUCUACUCCUGAUGAUGGGACCUUAGUUGAAGCUUUUUUUUUUUUUUUUU